rnacentral:rRNA from 1 species
GUAGGUGGCAAGCGUUGUCCGGAUUCACUGGGCGUAAAGCGCGCGCAGGCGGGCCAAUAAGUCCCGGGUUAAAUUCCACGGCUCAACCGUGGGCAGCCCCGGGAUACUGAUGGCCUUGAGGCAUCCAGAGGAGAGUGGAAUUCCCGGUGUAGUGGUGGAAUGCGUAGAUAUCGGGAGGAACACCAGUGGCGAAAGCGGCUCUCUGGGGAUGUUCUGACGCUGAGGCGCGAAAGCGUGGGGAGCGAACCGGGAUUAGAUACCCGGGUAGUCCACGCCGUAAACGAUGAGUACUAGCUGUCGGGGGUGUCGACUCCCCUCGGUAGCGCAGCUAACGCGUUAAGUACUCCGCCUGGGGACUACGGCCGCAAGGCUA